AAAAUCACAUAUUAUUCACCUUCGAUUAAUUAUUGUUUUUCAAUGAUGAUUACCAACUCAGCUCGCUUUGAUAGAAACAUGAAGAAAACUUGUUCCUAUAAUUCCUACGCAUUAAAUUAUACACUGAAGCAGUAAUCAUUUGCAAAAUACAUUUGUACGUCAGCUGUGGUACAGACUAUUAAAUGUGUUGUUUGUUUUACUGUUGCAGAUUUUGUUGAUGAGUUUCUAAAAUGCAGUUUUACGAUGAAGAUUUUGUUGAUGAGUCCUUCAAACGCAGUGUUACGAUGAAGGUUCUUGCAUAAUCGGACAUGAGUUUUCGGAAGCACAGUCACAAUUGGUUUAGAUUUUCUAACGCUGAUGGUUUACUAUAGAAGCUUUAGCUGUGGCUGUGAACAUUAGGAUCCUUUGAAAUGAGACAUACGAGGUACAACCUAGUUCAGAAAGGGACGAAUCCAUUAUCGCUUACAUUUCUGCAAGCCAUACUGAUCAUCAAAGGAAAUUGAGGACCAAUGUUGUCCAAAUAAGAAAGAUCCAAUGAAACGAGAUGAGCUGCACGAGCUGGCGCAGAAAGGAACGAAGCUGUUACAACUGCAAGUCAUGUAAUGAUGAUUAAAGGAAAUGCAACUGAGGACCGGUUUCCAAAUAAGAAAGAUCUUCUGAACCGAUAAAAUGGGCAGCCUCGGUCUGGUCCAAGUCAAAAGGAUCGGAUAAUCGCGAGAUCUAUAAAGAUGGAUAUUGAGAGGAUCGUUUUCCAAACAGAAAGAAACUUGAUAGCAAUUGCACCUGGUGCAGUGUGGUAGCUGGUUUUCAAACAACUACCUAUGACGAUAAAUAUUUGUGGAAUAUUUUACGGUUCCAAAGAUCGGCACGAUACUUUGUGCAAUUCAUAACUGAAGGCAUCCUGGGUUGCAGAAAUUUGCUGGAAUAUGAUUCAGUACUCAAAGCAUGGUUUCUGCAUGAUAAGUGAUUUUCGUUGAACUCAAUGGCCCUUAUUACGGGCUUCACUUCACGGUGAAAACGAAAUGAAGUGACAUUGAAUCACUCAAGGUGAAGUGAUUUGCAAGCCGACUCAUGUCACAGUGAGAUACUCAUUUUCACUUCACUUCGUUUUCACCGUGAAGUGACAGUCGUAAUAAGAACCAAUGGAAUGGAGAUUAAAACAUAAAAAGCUUGAAAACAUAUCGCAUUAAUACAUACAAUAUGCCCAAACUGCAAUUUAGGAAUGAAUUAUUUGCUACUUAUAUCACAUCCUUAUUUUAAAAAUUAAAGGCAAAGUAGGGUUUUUGAUCUAAUUUCCGUCAUACUAAGCACAACCCUCACUUUACCCCUCUUUUUUUGAACGGGUUUGAACAAAAAAUGGCAUAUUUUUUGUCAAAGAUUACUUCUAAAUUUAUUCACCUUUCCAUACGUACCGUUAGAUUUGAUAAAGAGUCACGAAUUGUUGAGAUAUUGUUUAAAAUCUAAUACAGAUUCUUGAUUCUAAAUUCGUUCAACGAGUUUCAAUUCCGUCCUAACGCAUUGGAACGCCAUUAGAUUUUCUUCGUCCUACGGAUAAACGUAGAAAAAAGGGAUUCGCUGGGAGCGCUUCUUUUGUUUUGAGAACAAUGAGCGUAAAUAUUCAUACAAUGCGCUCUAAUAGGAUUUAUGUUGUAGCUGGAGAUAAAGAGUAGUUAAUGUUCUACAUUGUGUAAUUAAUGUAAUUAAAGUAUGUCAAUGGAAUUAAUUUAAUUACAGCCGUUGCCUGCGUUGGAGUUCAAGGUUAUUGCGUGCCCCUAGUGCUGACCACGUUUUGCGUCCAUUGCUGCAAUGGAAGCGCUCUGCCCCCCGUUGGCGAUACUGCCAUACAAUGAAAUCACUGGAAGCGGCUCCCAUUCUGAUGGAAGAGGCUUUUUGGAUAGCGGAAGAUAAAUUUAUUGUGGUGUACCUUUUGAUAAUAGCUUUAAGAUGCUUUGUGUAGUGAACAAGAAUCUUCGGCUCUGUAAAGUGAAUUCGGUUGAGCCUUAUCAAAUAAAUUAAUGAAC